rnacentral:rRNA from 1 species
GUGCUAUACAUGCAGUUGAGCGCUGAAGGUUGGUACUUGUACCAACUGGAUGAGCAGCGAACGGGUGAGUAACGCGUGGGGAAUCUGCCUUUGAGCGGGGGACAACAUUUGGAAACGAAUGCUAAUACCGCAUAAAAACUUUAAACACAAGUUUUAAGUUUGAAAGAUGCAAUUGCAUCACUCAAAGAUGAUCCCGCGUUGUAUUAGCUAGUUGGUGAGGUAAAGGCUCACCAAGGCGAUGAUACAUAGCCGACCUGAAGAAAGGGGGUGAUCGGCCACAUUGGGACUGAGACACGGCCCAAACUCCUACGGGAGGCAGCAGUAGGGAAUCUUCGGCAAUGGACGAAAGUCUGACCGAGCAACGCCGCGUGAGUGAAGAAGGUUUUCGGAUCGUAAAACUCUGUUGGUAGAGAAGAACGUUGGUGAGAGUGGAAAGCUCAUCAAGUGACGGUAACUACCCAGAAAGGGACGGCUAACUACGUGCCAGCAGCCGCGGUAAUACGUAGGUCCCGAGCGUUGUCCGGAUUUAUUGGGCGUA